rnacentral:rRNA from 1 species
UACGUAGGGGGCAAGCGUUGUCCGGAAUCAUUGGGCGUAAAGAGCGUGUAGGCGGUUCGGUAAGUCGGCUGUGAAAGUCCAGGGCUCAACCCUGGGAUGCCGGUCGAUACUGCCGGACUAGAGUUCGGAAGAGGCGAGUGGAAUUCCCGGUGUAGCGGUGAAAUGCGCAGAUAUCGGGAGGAACACCUAUGGCGAAGGCAGCUCGCUGGGACGUUACUGUCGCUGAGACGCGAAAGCGUGGGGAGCAAACAGG